CAGCAGCCGCGGUAACACGGAGGGAGCUAGCGUUGUUCGGAAUUACUGGGCGUAAAGCGCGCGUAGGCGGUUACUCAAGUCAGAGGUGAAAGCCCGGGGCUCAACCCCGGAACUGCCUUUGAAACUAGGUGACUAGAAUCUUGGAGAGGUCAGUGGAAUUCCGAGUGUAGAGGUGAAAUUCGUAGAUAUUCGGAAGAACACCAGUGGCGAAGGCGACUGACUGGACAAGUAUUGACGCUGAGGUGCGAAAGCGUGGGGAGCAAACAGGAUUAGAUACCCCGGUAGUCCCUGUCUCUUAUAC
rnacentral:rRNA from 1 species